rnacentral:rRNA from 1 species
GACGUAGGGGGCCAGCGUUGCUCGGAAUUACUGGGUGUAAAGGGUUCGUAGGCGGUGUGGCAAGUCGGGAGUGAAAUCUCUGGGCUCAACCCAGAGUCUGCUUCCGAAACUGCUGUGCUUGAGUGCGGGAGAGGGAUGUGGAAUUCCAGGUGUAGCGGUGAAAUGCGUAGAUAUCUGGAGGAACACCGGUGGCGAAGGCGGCAUCCUGGACCGACACUGACGCUGAGGCGCGAAAGCUAGGGGAGCAAACGGG